rnacentral:lncRNA from 1 species
CAUACGCGUUAAAGCCUAGUAAUUCUAUUCAUUAUGGUAUUUUGUUGAUAAAGCAACGCGUUACCACGCGUUACCAUCAAGUUUUUAAUAAAAUGUAUAUAGUAGUUUUUUUUAAAUAAAAGAUGGUAACGCGUGGUAACGCGUGCGCAACUGAUGGUAACGCGUUGUUAGUCAUUGCUUGCAUAUCGAUCUUGUAGUUUUGAACCAUUAGAAAUGAACUUUUAUUGCGGACGUUUUAUUGUAGCAAUAAUAACUGUUUGAUAUUAGUGGUAACACGUAUGGUAACGCGUGGUAACGCGUUGUUAAAAUUUGAAUUUGGAGCGAAAACAGGUAGCCCAUGCAUAUACAUUAAUUAAACUAAUCCGAAUGGCUAAUUUCCAGUUUGAGAACGAGGUUGUUUACAUGUUGGCGUUGUUCUUGAAUUUACAUAGUACUUUAAAAUAGAAAAAUCUUGAUUUGUGAUGGUUGCAUGAUAUUCAUUCUUUAUUAUCGAUAUAUCUUUUUCGAAUCGAAGGCAAGCUUGCGAAGGAAUGUUAGUUGCCGGCAAGGUAUGGAUUUUAACUUAACUUGGACAAACUAUCGCAUAAUAUAAUACUUGUAUAUUGGCAUGUAUACUAUAUGUAGUCCAAAUAUGUUAUGCAAAUUUUGUUCGUAUACAUUAACAUAAGUGCUGCCAAAGAAAAUAUUAUGCAGUAAAUAGCCAAAACCUGCGCUCGAUUUUCCCCAAUUUUCAGACAAUCGUCCACAAAAUAUUUGAGACAAACCCCCUCCCCCGAUUUCAAUGUUGUUAGGCACUACAAUAUAGUUUAAUUCCAACAUCAUAUGUUAAAUUUCAACUGCCAGUGACACAGUUGCGGUGCUAGUGUCACCUUAUGUUCGUUUUGGACAAGUACAGUAGGUUUCAACAUUGAAAUAAGGGGGGAGGGGAUUGAUUUAAAAAGUCUCAAUAUAUUUUGUGGACGAUUGUCUUAAAAAUUGAUAAGACUUAGUUAAUAGCAUCUCGAAGUUUUUUUGAAAUCACUUUGUGUGCAUGUGUAGUAGUCACUGUAGAUGAUACUAUUGGGGUUAUUGUUCACACGUAGAAUAGUACAGUGCUACCAAGUUGACCAGGGGGGGGAGAUAUAAAAGAUAUGGGGGGAGAUCCAAGAAAUAUCACUAUAUGUUUGGUAGACGAUUAUAUUAGAAAUUAAGAAAACUUAGAUGGCAGCAGCUCGAAG